rnacentral:rRNA from 1 species
GUGGGGAAUUUUGGACAAUGGGCGAAAGCCUGAUCCAGCCAUGCCGCGUGCAGGAUGAAGGCCUUCGGGUUGUAAACUGCUUUUGUACGGAACGAAAAGACUCUGGUUAAUACCUGGGGUCCAUGACGGUACCGUAAGAAUAAGCACCGGCUAACUACGUGCCAGCAGCCACGGUAAUACGUAGGGUGCAAGCGUUAAUCGGAAUUACUGGGCGUAAAGCGUGCGCAGGCGGUUAUAUAAGACAGAUGUGAAAUCCCCGGGCUCAACCUGGGAACUGCAUUUGUGACUGUAUAGCUAGAGUACGGCAGAGGGGGAUGGAAUUCCGCGUGUAGCAGUGAAAUGCGUAGAUAUGCGGAGGAACACCGAUGGCGAAGGCAAUCCCCUGGGCCUGUACUGACGCUCAUGCACGAAAGCGUGGGGAGCAAACAGGAUUAGAUACCCUGGUAGUCC